ACGUAGGGGGCAAGCGUUGUCCGGAAUUACUGGGCGUAAAGGGUUACGUAGGUGUCUUGUCAGGUUUCUGUUUAAAGGCCGAGGCUCAACUUCGGUAGCGACGGAAAAACCGACAGGAUUGAGGACAAGAGAGGUAGCUGGAAUUCCCGGUGUAGCGGUAAAAUGCGUAGAUAUCGGGAAGAACACCGAUGGCGUAAGCAGGCUACUGGCUUGUUCCUGACACUAAGGUACGAAAGCGUGGGGAGCGAACGGGA
rnacentral:rRNA from 1 species